GGAUGAGAAACCCUUUGUCUUGUCAUUCUUUUUGUUCCGAGGCUGGCAGAGAAUUAAAGUUACUCCAGUCAGCCUUGCUGGGUACUUUCUUUCCUGACUUAGUUCUUCAUAAAAAAAGGUUGGUGGAGACUUUUCUCAACAUGCAGUUGCAGUGCCAAGUCAACAAGAUGCCUUGAUGUAUAGAUGAAAAUGGGAAGAAACAGGAAAUCUGAAAUGAUUCCUUGGUUAAUUUGGUGUUAAAGCUGUUAAUGGUGGUGAUGUCUGGUGUGCAGUGGUGUGGGAGUCAUUUUCUGAUUGAGAGAUGCACUGAUAUGGACCUUCUGCAGAUUUGUAGUUCAACACAAAACUUCAAUAUACCACGUUGGUGUCGAUGCAGUGUUGGGCUGCUGUGUAAAAUAGCUGGUGUUGCCUGAUGGCUUUCUGGCAUUUUGUUGGUGCGUUCUUCUGCUACCUGUAUCCAUGUUGAGUUAAACUGGAUGCCGCUGUUUCAGACUUGAUCCACUGGUGAAGCUGAGAAGUUUGACUGUAAUUCAAGACUGAGAAAUUAUUCAGAUUUAGACAAAUGAAAAAUGCAAAUCUUUUGUCCCUUUUUAGUUGUGUGAUUAUCAGGAAUGUUAUGGUGGAAUGUGGAAUUGCAAUUAGAUUUUACAUUUUCUAUGAGAACGAAAAGUCAAACCAAAUACUGAAAUGAUCCAAUUAACAUUUCAGCCUCCAUAACAAUUCUUAAACGUACCGCUUUUAAUCACUAACAUAAGAACAUGUUCUUGACAUAAGAACAUGUUCUUGAC